ensembl:lncRNA
CUUUGUUCGCAAAAGCCACCUCUCUCCCGAGCUCUCCUGCCAUAUGAUAUCCUCCGCCAUGUUAUGAUCCAGUGAGGUGGCCCUCACCAGAUACCAGCACCUUGAUUUUGGACUUCCCACUUUCCAGAGAUCACAGUGGAAAUGAAGGUGGAUGUGUCUCACUGUUUCCAGGAGGCUUACUCAUCAGGGACCUGAGAGGAAGAUCAGAAGAGCUGGAUAUGUAUGAAUUUAAGAAUGCUCUGUCAACUGCUGCGGACUGAAAACAUUGAGGAACAAAGGAAUUAAUUAAAGGCUCUAGAAG